rnacentral:rRNA from 1 species
UACGUAGGCAGCGAGCGUUGUUCGGAGUUACUGGGCGUAAAGCGUGCGCAGGCGGUUCGCUAAGACCGAUGUGAAAUCCCCGGGCUUAACCUGGGAACUGCAUUGGUGACUGGCGGGCUAGAGUAUGGCAGAGGGGGGUAGAAUUCCACGUGUAGCAGUGAAAUGCGUAGAGAUGUGGAGGAAUACCGAUGGCGAAGGCAGCCCCCUGGGCCAAUACUGACGCUCAUGCACGAAAGCGUGGGGAGCAAACAGG